rnacentral:lncRNA from 1 species
CACGUGCUGCCCAGUGGCUUCCGGAAGUUCCUGGUCCACAAUGUCAAGGAGCUGAGAGUGCUGCUGAUAUGCAACAAAUGAGAAGAAUAAUGUCUGGGGUGAAGGUGAAGCACCCAGCCCAAGACUCAGCAGCCAGGAAGUGGCCCAGCGCUCUUUAUACCACGGGUGCAGGAAUUCACACAGAAAAGUGGAGGCCAAGGCGUGAGAAUUCCUCAAUGACUGCCCUCUAAAGGAAGAGAUCCAAAGAAAUCCUGAGGAAGCACAACAAACAAAAACACUCUGGAUCAGAACUUCCUGUGCCAGCGUUACAUCAGGGUUUUCUAGCAGCAAGGGCGGGCUCCACAUGGCUGAAGCAGGCAACCA